rnacentral:rRNA from 1 species
CAGCCGCCACGGUAAUACGAAGGGGGCUAGCGUUGCUCGGAAUUACUGGGCGUAAAGGGAGCGUAGGCGGACAUUUAAGUCAGGGGUGAAAUCCCAGAGCUCAACUCUGGAACUGCCUUUGAUACUGGGUGUCUUGAGUGUGAUAGAGGUAUGUGGAACUCCGAGUGUAGAGGUGAAAUUCGUAGAUAUUCGGAAGAACACCAGUGGCGAAGGCGACAUACUGGAUCAUUACUGACGCUGAGGCUCGAAAGCGUGGGGAGCAAACAGGAUUAGAUACCCCAGUAGUCCCUGUCUCUUAUAC